GGGGCUGCAUUGGUUUCGACGUGGGUUCGGACGCGGUGUGGUGCAUGUCGAGCUGAGUGUGCUCGUAAAACUGAUUCAAACAAACUAACUGCAAACGACGAACGUUUCGCACUCGCUGCUUAAUUGCCAGUGAGCUUUACAACAGCAGGCCGAUGGGCUGGGCAAGGGGUGUUUAGCGCAAGUUAAAUGCUCCCGGCUGUAAAGAUAAUUUCAUCGGCUGGCUCCGGGCUGGGUACCUUAACCCGGGGC
rnacentral:tmRNA from 1 species